AAGCUGGAGAAGCGGCUGCGCGCUACGGCUGGGCGUGUGCAGGCCCUGGAAGGGGCGCUGAGGGCGGCCAAGGAGGGGGCGCGGCUGGACAAGCGCCUGUACCAGCAGGAGGUGGAGCGGAUCCGCGAGGCCGUGCGGGCCCGGGGGGGCGCGGCGGGGGCCCGGCGCCCACAUCGCCAAGCCGGUGCGGCCGGGGCAGGUGCCGUCGCCCACCGGGCUGAGCUACACCAACAGCCUGUUCCAGGGGUACCCCCGGGGCGGGCCCCCUGCCCGGCCCCCACGGCCUCUUUGCCAGCGGCCCCCCCACGCUGUCCAGCAGCCCCCCGGACUCCUACCAGCAGCUCAACGUGGAUAACGGGAACGUGACAGACAUCAACGACAACAGGAGUGACCUGUCCUGCGCCUGCGAGGCCGAGGAGGCGGCCAAGCUCUUCCCCCUGCGCCAGGAGACGGCGGCCAGUUAAUGCCCCCCCAGGUCCUGCCAGACCCGGCUCCGCUCGCAUGUCCUGGUGUCACCCGUGUCCUGUGCUCGUGCCACGCUCGCCCCGUGCCGGGGGGGCUGUCCCCCCCCCACCAGGACCCCCCCCCGGGACACCCCAAUCCCGCUGUGGGGGGCGGCGCCGGGGGCCGCCCGAGCUGCCUUAACGCGGACCUGGAGAAUGUCACCCCCCGGCCCGGCCCCACAAGUGGGGGGCAGCCCCCCCUCCCCGCACCCCCCGGGUCCCCUCGCUUGGCAUCUCGGCUGUGCCCCCCCCCCCCCUCCACAGGACCGUCCGGGCCAUCCUCGCGUGGGGGUCCCCCGUGCCCCCCGCCCCCCCCAGCGCUGCAUGUCCCGCCCGGCGCGGCCGGGAGGCUCAAUAAAGGCUGGAGAUGCUGA